GCCAUGGCUCAGUGGCAGAGUGUCUGUUUUACAUGCAGAAGGUUCCAGGUUCAGUCCUUGAUAGCUCCA
rnacentral:tRNA from 1 species